AAAUUUCAAACUAAAUUUGUACUUGUUUUUCAUGUUGUGGUGAUUUUUUCAUUCGCAGGGAGUGUGCACCAGAAAUGCUAGCCUUUGUCCACGGGACAAGUUGCCUGAUGGUGAUCAAAAAGUGGACUCAAUAUGAUUAAAUUGUUUUACUAGAUGAGAUUUUUCCUAACUUCUGAUCAGGAGGUGAGGUUUUUUUUACUGGUCCUUUCUGGCCUGCAGAAUUAGUUCUACAGGUUUCUAGUACUAAGAGUAAGUAACUGUAGGAUUAAAUGCAAAUAAAUACAUAAAUCAGAUUAAAUGAAAUACAAAGGAGCUUUUUGAAAACACUGCUUUCAAAAGAAAACAAAUCUGGUUCUGAGGAGACAGUUGGGAAGCAUAUAUGUAUAUUUUUAAUAUUCACGUUCAAGAGAGAUUAAAGUAUUCUUGUUUGUAAAUACAUGUAUAUUCUUAUAAAGAAAUUUGAAAACAGAGAAAGUAUCUUAAACACAACAUAUGUUUCCACUGAUUUUCAUUUGUUUUCUUCAGUGACAAAUCCACUUCAUUAUCCUGAUUGGGAUUGCAGGCUAGUACUGAUAGGGAAAAAUGAGCUCUUUGCCAUAUUACUUAAUAAGUUAAUUCAGGUUAGUUAGCUUGGUUAUUUUGUGCAGGGGACAGGUGUUAGCCUCUGGCAGAAGUAAUACAUGAUUUUUGAGAUCUUGUGUCAUUUUUUGUCUGCUGUUGGUUAGGAAAACAUUUCUACCACGCAGCCAAGCUUUGUAUAUCAAAAGUCAGUAGUAUGAAAAUCAGUGAGGAAGAGCAAAUAGAGUCUUUUUCAGACUUAGAAUGUAGGAUUUUUUUGAGAUUAAGGCAGUAUACAAGAUAUUGUUGUAAGCACUUUCAGGUCACUCAGUGUUACUUAUAAAAGUUACCCUACCAAACCUUAACACCAUCAGUAGAGAGCAAGAGACAUGCACUGGUUUCUCUAUGUGGUGAUUCAGAAUGUGAAGCCUUCUUGGAAUUGCCUUCUGAGGAAGAUUUUUUUUCUCAGUGGCUCUACGAGAAGGUAUUAGCUGGCUAAUGUUAUCUUAAAAAUACACACCUCUGGGUAUGUAAAGCUGGGAAAACUUAAUGUGUGCUGUGUUUUUUAUCAAUGAGUAAUAUUUCCAAAGUAAACAUAUAGCAGAUAAAGGAAGCUUUUUAGCAUUCAGCAUAAUACCUUCCCUACUCGGAGAUGCAUGCUCAGUGUGGCCUUGCAAUACUUAUCAGUGCACAUACAACUACAAUGGUUUUAAUAUAAUGGUGUACAUGCACAAUAGCAAAGAAAGAGUAGUUAAUACCAUUGUUAAGCCAAAGAUAAAGAGAUUCUCCCUGCUAUUAGAUGUAAUUACUGUUCAGGGUUUCACAAAGGCUCUUUUAAAGAUGUUACAUUUCUUCCUCUUGUAAUACACAAAGAACAGAGAAAUCAUGGUUUAAAUGAUCUUGAUGUUCAUGGAGAACAUAAUGAAAAAAAUCCUCUUUUAAUGUUUUAAUGUUCUUUUAAGUGGCUUUAAUAACCACUUAGUUAAAUAGAAUUUGUUAUCAUUUUAAGAGAUUAAUUCUAGUCUGACAAUUUUUGUCUAAGAAGUUUGACAAUUGAAUUCUAUGACAAUUAAUCAUCCAAUUGGAUACAAUUUUGUUUCACAUUUAUAUAUUUUUUUUUCUGUUUAAGCCAGUGGUAAGUCUUGAAAACAUUGUGUUCCAGGUGAUAUAAAUAUAUUUUUCUAUUUACAGUUUUUUGAUUUAGCUACAGCAGAAAUGAAUGCUCAGCCCUUUGCAGGUUUCGAAUAUCCAUUUCUCUUAUGCUGGAGAAUAUGGCUAUAUUAGUGAAAAAAUACGUUAAACUUGAAGAAAGUGGGGACAGGGAAAAUACUGGAGACUGCUGUGAAAGAACAUUCACAGGUGUACAUAGUCUUAAAAAAACAAACAACAUCAACAAAAAACAGUAGAGGGAGGACAAACAAAAGCCCUAUUCUUUUGUUAUGUAGCAAAUUAAAAAUAAUCUAUUAAUUGAAUUGGCAGAUCAUCCUGGAAAGAUAGCACUUACGUUACAGUGGUCUGUAACCUCUGGAAAAAGAAUUAGUUUCCUGGAAUUAGUUUAGAUUCUGAUCCUAACUUUCCUAAUUCAUAAGUGGCUCUUUUCUACCUUCUGUUGUUACUCUUCUGUAAACCCCAGUUCCCUCUCUAUUUUGAUUUAUUUUGUUUUGAUGUGUCCUAUGAUUCUGUGUUCAGGAUUAUUGUGGUUACGAGGUAAGAAACAUUUCAUGUGCAUUGAAAAAAAUAUUUGCUUAAGUAGUCUUAUGUACAUAAUUAAGUGCUAGAAUGUAAUGUUCUUAAUUUUGUUUUGCUCUUAGACUACUAGGGCAUGUCAUUUGAAUACAUAGUUUUUGCAGCUCUCAUCCCUUUUGAACUUCAAUCUAUAUGUUAAUAUCUGCAAAUAGUGGCAACAGAACAUUUUUGGAACUGAAGUGUAUCAUGACUAGUGGGAGUUGGAAGAGAACCUUUUGGUUUGCAGCAUGACGCUUUGCUAUCUUCAAGCACAAUGGUAAAAUCUAUCUCUGUACAGAAGGUCAUUGUAAGUCCUAUUUCCACUUGAUCAGAAAGUCCAUCAUGAUGGAAAAUAGAUAUUGCUCUGCUGACUUUAUGGGAGCAAACUCAGGUGUCCGAGUUUGUCUCAGAAACAAACUGAUGCAGGUCCUUGAAAGUUCAAGUGGAGAACAUACUUUUAGCUCUGCCUUUUGCAUAAGACUGAAUUUUACUGCAGGUUUAUGAAUUAUCCUACAUAAAAGGCCAUCCUUCAUCAGAUUUUACCAUAUGGUUAAAACAUAUAUGCAUAUUUUUUCUGUUACUUCCAGGCACUGUGAAGCAGCUGGUAUUAAUGAAUAAAAAUAGCCAGCAAAAUCAUGGCGUGUGGUUGCUGGAAGGAACAAUUUAUAGUUAGGAAUCUUGUAGGUUACUUGAAGGAAGAAGAAAGGAACAACCCAAAACAUGUGACCUCUGAAAACGUGGAUGAUCUCUAAGUAUAAUUUGUAUUUUGAGCACCUGUACUGCUCAAGGCAACGUAAUAUGGAACUGAGUAGAAGACAGUAAUUCAAUUCCUACUGCUAAAUUUUAUAGGGAAGGGAAUUGAAUACUGGUGGGCGUAGUGGCUUUGGGUUUUUUUGUUUUUGUUUUUUUUUAAUGCAAACACUAUUGCUGUAGUUUUCUCUCAUGCUGACCAUUGUAUCAAGAUAUCUUGGAGAUAUUUGAAAGAGAAAUGGAUGUGCCUUUUGUCUUUCAAAAUAGAUUAAAUAUAACUUAAAGAUAGAACUUAAUAUAACUUAUAUAAAAAUAUAACUUAAAGAGCAUUUAUGGUGGAUCUAGUAGACAAAACUAUGAGAUUUAGUAAUUUUUUUUAAUAGCUCUGUGUUACAUUUUUAUCUUUCUAAAAAAUAAAGUAGAUCUGCCUUAAUUUACUAAGAGUAAUAACAAAAUAUAAGAUCUUUCUGUUACAGAAAAUGACUUUAAUAGGCUUUAGCGUUUCAUAACUAAUAGCUACCAAGUUCAGUGGAUAAGCAGCAAAUUUUGUACCUUCACUUGGGCAUCGUUUUUUUUUUUUUUGUUUUGUUUUUCUUUGUUUUGUGUGGGACAAGAAGUAGGUCAAGGGCAGUGGUUCAAACAGUUAAAAGGCCAGUAUAACAUGAAAAUUCUGUAGGGUGGGAAAGCUAAAAAGUAUUAUGGCAUUGUAAUGAGAAAAAUAUUGAGACUUAAUUUGCAGGUGUAGCAAAAUGCUAAGUCACAGCUUGAACCAGUGAUUGACCACCUGGUGGGAAGGCAGGGCCAACCCAGCGGAGCUCAGGUGCAUGCAAUCUAUCUGAGUGAACAGAAUGGGUAGAGCCAGGAGCCACCCUUUCCCAGACUUCACUUAAUGGCUGCCAGUGGAAGCAAGGGUAUUUUGCUCUGGAGAUUCCUGCAUGCUUGAAGCCUUCUGAAGUGGAAAAAGUGAUUCACUCACAGAGGUUGAUGGUGCAGACUCUCAAACUGGUUGUAGAAAGCACUGAUGUUAAUGCAGAGGGAACAAGCUGCCCAAUGGAAACUACUGGUUUGCAAGUUCAAACUUAUACUGCUUCGUGCCUUUAAGAGAAAGCUAAAGGGAGACUUUGUUACUUUCUACAGCUAUCUGAUGGGAGAUUUGGAGAAUACGAAGGCAGGCUUUUAUUGGAGGUGGAGAACUGAAGGUUGAAUGUUGUUUACAGAGAUUCCUCUUGAAAUUUUGGAGCAGUUUGGUUGAGUAAUGCUUCAGUUACAAGUUGCAUUUUGAGAGCUGAAUGGGAACCACAUGAAGAAGGCAGAUAUAAACGUUCACAAUACAAAAAUCUGCAAUGCUGUUUUUGCUGACACUUUCUCCCCCUUCCCCAGGGCUGGUAAAACUUGUAAUACUGUUUGAAUGUAAGGAAGCUAAGCUGACAAGAAGAAACUGGGAGAAGAAUUGAUAAAGAUCAGACUUUGCAACUUCUGUCAAGCUUGUUGGGCCUUUAGUUCUUAAUCACCUAGAAAAGAUGUGGUAACAUCUAAUUACUGAAGUUUUUGACGAUGCUGAACUGAAAAUAAUCUAGAAAUGCCAGCUCUCCUGAAUCCAUGAAAUCAGAAAUAAAGAUUGAAAAUGAUAGUCUUUGGUAAAUGAAAGGCUUAAAAAUAUAAACCAAAAGCAGAUAAAUACAAAGAAAAGAAAUACACAUGUUCAGUGUGACAGAGAAGUCUGAAAAUCCUAUCACAGAAUGGAGAGAAAGGGUAGUUAAAAAUAAUUUUGUAAAGUGGUAUUUCAGGCAAAUGCUACUGAAUGGUUGCUAACGUGAAGACCCUUGAGGCCUUGUCUGAUCUGUAAAGCUUGAUCGUUGUUCUGUAGUGUAUGGCUGUGAUAAGGCCGAACUUGAACUGCAGUGCUCAGUGAGAGGCAUCUUGUUGAUGGAAUUCUGAUAAAGGAGAAGGGAUGCAGUGAAAUCCAUCUCCAUCUUUGCACAGGAGAAUCUCAUAAAAGCUCAUUCACUUAUUCAUGUUCACAUUUCCAUAUUUGUGUAAAAACUUUAACGAGAAAUCUGAUGACUUUGGCAGAACUUAAUAGCCUUUCCCUCUCUCCUCACCAGCAGCUUUCUGAUGUAGCUACGAAGUGAAUCGCCAUAUGCCUCAGGCUUCAGUUCUGCUGUAUCUUCUGCUUUAAUUUAGUAGUCACAUCAUUGUAUUAUCUUCUCCAGAUGUGGUUUUGUUACAUCUGGCUAAAAUUCUAUUUGGCAUAAAAUUUUGAGAUCUUAGAACUUAUGUUCAUGCAACUUUGGGAAAAUAUAGGGAUGUGGACUAGAAAAGACUGAAAGGAUAUCAUAAUAGAAAAGAAACAGCGAGGUGAGAAAAUGAUGUGCUUUGCAGUUGGGACUUUGCAAGGGCUAUUUUUUAACUCUUUGUCACAGAAUGUUUUGAUAUAUUGAUGUUUAUGUGCACAAAGAAGGUGGCUCUGCAGAGGAGAUAAACUUGAUAGUGUAGGUCCUUUAUUUAACUCAGAGACAAGAUGAUGCUGGGAGCCAUUUUCCAAGCAGUGAAACAGCAUUCCAACAGUGAGUGAACAAAGAUAUAUUUCUGUUUGGACUUAUUUUGUUGCUUGGUAUUUAGUCUGUUUGCAGCAGGCAUAUUAAUAUCACCAUGACUUUAUCAGUUCAAAUCCCACGUAAAGCUAUUAAGUAGGCACUGGCUUUGUUGCUAUUGCUCUGAAUGUUGUGGCUUCAUUAUUGAAAUAUAAUGGUUAAAUGGGGUGUAGCAUUCUCUGUGGCCAUCUGUUCUUUUAAAGGUUUGUUCUGGCAAAAUUAAAAUGUACGUAUAUAAAUAAAAAGCAUUAUUUCUGUUAAGUAAACAUCCAAAAAAGUUCAAAUGCCAAAAAAUUACUUUCAUUUGCUUUCUUCCUGUGAGUGAAUUUAUUAUGUCUCCUAGAACACUGAGAAACAAACGUUUUUGUGUAUAAUUAUACUGCAGAUAAAUAUUUGAUUCUGCAUCCACUGUGCAGCCUUCAUCAGAUUGUUGCAAUCCAGUUAUGAAAAAAUUGUGCUUUUCCUCAUUUAAAAAAAAAAAAAAUCCCACUAAAAUAUGGGGCUGGAGAGUUGUGUCUUGAAAAGGGCAGUCCUCAUGUCUCAGUUUAAUUGCAGUUGUACUGUUUUCUAUUCUUUUUGUUCUGGAGGAGUGCAGUGUGAAAGGUUUUGAUUUUC